CUACGUGCCAGCAGCCGCGGUAAUACGUAGGGUGCAAGCGUUAAUCGGAAUUACUGGGCGUAAAGGGUGCGCAGGCGGUUCUGUAAGUCAGAUGUGAAAUCCCCGGGCUUAACCUGGGAACUGCGUUUGAAACUGCAGGGCUAGAGUGCGGCAGAGGGAGGUGGAAUUCCAUGUGUAGCAGUGAAAUGCGUAGAGAUAUGGAAGAACAUCGAUGGCGAAGGCAACCUCCUGGGCUAGCACUGACGCUCAUGCACGAAAGCGUGGGGAGCAAACAGGAUUAGAUACCCUGGUAGUCCACGCCCUAAACUAUGUCAACUAGUUGUCGGGUCUUAUUAGACUUGGUAACGUAGCUAACGCGUGAAGUUGACCGCCUGGGGAGUACGGUCGCAAGAUUAAAACUCAAAGGAAUUGACGGGGG
rnacentral:rRNA from 1 species